CUAUACAUGCAAGUCGAGCGAACAGAUGAGAAGCUUGCUUCUCUGAUGUUAGCGGCGGACGGGUGAGUAACACGUGGGUAACCUACCUAUAAGACUGGGAUAACUCCGGGAAACCGGGGCUAAUACCGGAUAAUAUUUUGAACCGCAUGGUUCAAUAGUGAAAGACGGUUUCGGCUGUCACUUAUAGAUGGACCCGCGCCGUAUUAGCUAGUUGGUAAGGUAACGGCUUACCAAGGCGACGAUACGUAGCCGACCUGAGAGGGUGAUCGGCCACACUGGAACUGAGACACGGUCCAGACUCCUACGGGAGGCAGCAGUAGGGAAUCUUCCGCAAUGGGCGAAAGCCUGACGGAGCAACGCCGCGUGAGUGAUGAAGGUCUUCGGAUCGUAAAACUCUGUUGUUAGGGAAGAACAAAUUUGUUAGUAACUGAACAAGUCUUGACGGUACCUAACCAGAAAGCCACGGCUAACUACGUGCCAGCAGCCGCGGUAAUACGUAGGUGGCAAGCGUUAUCCGGAAUUAUUGGGCGUAAAGCGCGCGUAGGCGGUUUCUUAAGUCUGAUGUGAAAGCCCACGGCUCAACCGUGGAGGGUCAUUGGAAACUGGGAAACUUGAGUGCAGAAGAGGAGAGUGGAAUUCCAUGUGUAGCGGUGAAAUGCGCAGAGAUAUGGAGGAACACCAGUGGCGAAGGCGGCUCUCUGGUCUGUAACUGACGCUGAUGUGCGAAAGCGUGGGGAUCAAACAGGAUUAGAUACCCUGGUAGUCCACGCCGUAAACGAUGAGUGCUAAGUGUUAGGGGGUUUCCGCCCCUUAGUGCUGCAGCUAACGCAUUAAGCACUCCGCCUGGGGAGUACGACCGCAAGGUUGAAACUCAAAGGAAUUGACGGGGACCCGCACAAGCGGUGGAGCAUGUGGUUUAAUUCGAAGCAACGCGAAGAACCUUACCAAAUCUUGACAUCCUUUGACCGCUCUAGAGAUAGAGUCUUCCCCUUCGGGGGACAAAGUGACAGGUGGUGCAUGGUUGUCGUCAGCUCGUGUCGUGAGAUGUUGGGUUAAGUCCCGCAACGAGCGCAACCCUUAAGCUUAGUUGCCAUCAUUAAGUUGGGCACUCUAGGUUGACUGCCGGUGACAAACCGGAGGAAAGGGGGGGAUGACGUCAAAUCAUCAUGCCCCUUAUGAUUUGGGCUACACACGUGCUACAAUGGAUAAUACAAAGGGCAGCGAAUCCGCGAGGCCAAGCAAAUCCCAUAAAAUUAUUCUCAGUUCGGAUUGUAGUCUGCAACUCGACUACAUGAAGCUGGAAUCGCUAGUAAUCGUAGAUCAGCAUGCUACGGUGAAUACGUUCCCGGGUCUUGUACACACCGCCCGUCACACCACGAGAGUUUGUAACACCCGAAGCCGGUGGAGUAACCUUUUAGGAGCUAGCCGUCGUAAGGG
rnacentral:rRNA from 1 species